GGAAGGUAGAUCACUGUCCGGUAGGUCCCAUUGGCUCUACCGGAAAGGGCGUGACUUCGCCACUCUUUACGUUCGUUAAUUGGUCACACUGUUAGUGCGCACUGCGCAUGCUCUCUUCCACGGCGCACUUUGCAGAGGCCUGAAGGACACCUUUUUUUGUCAUUUUCCGUGCGUGUUUAUGAUCCAAUAAUAUGACAUUGACAAAGGAAUUACUGCAGAGGACAGCGCAAGGGGGCAAACGAUUAAUAAGAUGGCUCCAGAAGGAGAGGCUGGUUGGAAGGAAAAAACUAUGCCCUGUGUGCAACAACAGAAUGCAAUUCAAAAGAACCAACACGACCAUGGAUGGUUACAGGUGGAUCUGUAGAAAGGCCAACCACAGGGGAAGGUGCAUCACAAGGUCCAUCAGAGAGGGCUCAAUAUUCUCCAGAUCCCACAUUCCACUACCAUCAUGGAUGACAAUAAUGCACAGUUUGUCACAGGGUUUGAGGAAGAGGCAAGUGGACAUGAUAGAGGAUGGAGUAUGUGGGAGCAGCAAAUCACUGACCAGGGUGACUACACUUCUGAGGGAAAUCUGCAGUGAAGCAAUCAGACGACUGGAAGGAAGACGGGAAAUGCAAAUUGGAGGGAGGAGAGCUUUUGUAUCAAUAGACGAGAGCAAAUUCAGACACAAAAGAAAGUACGGACGUGGACGACGUGGAAACACCUGGCGAAGACGCUCGUGGGUCUUUGGAAUGGUAGAAGUGAAGAGGUCCCGUAGACGUCCUGUCUUAAAACUGGUGAAAAAUCGAUCCAGAAGGCGAUUGCUCCCAAUAAUCAGAAAAUAUAUUAGACCUGGAAGUGAUGUGAUAAGUGAUUGCUGGGGUGCGUACAACAGAUUGUCGCAUGAUGGUUACAUUC
ensembl:lncRNA